rnacentral:rRNA from 1 species
AAUCCAGUGGUUGUGGUUGACUUGCAUAGUUUUCCAGCUGUCAGCCCUGGGUCAUGAUAAUGAUGUCGAUGACGAAUCCACAAUAUAUACAUUUGUUUCGUCGUAUGUCAUUUCCAAUGCUACAGCACAUCCUGAAUGCCCCAUUCGGUGUCUCUUAAUGAUAUCGGCAGUACACGGAAAGAUGGGAACAGCAACUUUUGCAUGGCGACAGACAGGGCGACUAGGGAUCGGACGGUGUUUCUAUUAUGACCCGUUCGGCACCUUACGAGAAAUCAAAGUUUUUGGGUUCUGGGGGGAGUAUGGUCGCAAGGCUGAAACUUAAAGAAAUUGACGGAAGGGCACCA